AGAGUUUGAUUCUGGCUCAGGAUUAACGCUGGCGGCGUGCAUGAGACAUGCAAGUCAUACGGGUGACCAGGGCUUGCUCUGGUUGCUAGUGGCGGACGGCUGAGUAACGCGUAGGUGACCUGCCCCGAAGUGGGGAAUAACUGCCCGAAAGGGUGGCUAAUACCGCAUGUGGUGAUGCGUUCAUUCGCAUCAGUAAAGCCGCAAGGCGCUUCGGGAGGGGCCUGCGUCCGAUUAGCUCGUUGGUGGGGUAACGGCUCACCAAGGCGACGAUCGGUAGGUGGUCUGAGAGGACGAUCACCCAGACUGGGACUGAGACACGGCCCAGACUCCUACGGGAGGCAGCAGUCGGGAAUUUUGCCCAAUGGACGAAAGUCUGAGGCAGCAACGCCGCGUGAGGGAUGAAGGCCUUCGGGUUGUAAACCUCUUUUCUCAGGGACGAUAAUGACGGUACCUGAGGAAUAAGUCACGGCUAACUACGUGCCAGCAGCCGCGGUAAUACGUAGGUGGCAAGCGUUGUCCGGAUUUACUGGGCGUAAAGAGCGCGCAGGCGGUCGUUCAAGUCGAGUGUGAAAGCCCCCGGCUCAACUGGGGAGGGUCACUCGAUACUGAUCGACUUGAAGGCAGGAGAGGGAAGUGGAAUUCCCGGUGUAGUGGUGAAAUGCGUAGAUAUCGGGAGGAACACCAGUGGCGAAGGCGGCUUUCUGGCCUGUUCUUGACGCUGAGGCGCGAAAGCUNNNGUAGCNNNCGGGAUUAGAU
rnacentral:rRNA from 1 species